AGUGAACGCUGGCGGCGUGCCUAAUACAUGCAAGUCGAACGAAGUGGCGCACGGGUUAGUAAUAUAUAGCUCAUCUGCCCUACACAGAGGAACAACAGUUGGAAACGACUGCUAAUACCUCAUAGUGUAGGGUGAGACUAUAUCGUAUCAGCUAGUUGGUAAGGUGAUGGCUUACCAAGGCUAGGACGCGUAACUGGUCGGCGAGGAUGAUCAGUCACAUGGGAACUGAGAAACGGGUGGAACUCCUACGGGAAGCAGCAGGAAGGAAUGUUGCGCAAUGGGGGUAACGCUAGCGCAGCAACGCCGCGUGGAGAAUGACACUGUACGGAGAGUGAGCUCCUUUUAUCAGGAAAGCGGUACCUGAUGAAUAAGCACCGGCUAACUCCGGGCCAGCAGCCGCGGUAAUAC
rnacentral:rRNA from 1 species